rnacentral:rRNA from 1 species
UACGGAGGGUGCAAGCGUUAUCCGGAUUCACUGGGUUUAAAGGGUGCGUAGGUGGCUUUGUAAGUCAGUGGUGAAAUCUUAGAGCUUAACUCUAAAACUGCCAUUGAUACUGCUUAGCUUGAAUCAAGUAGAGGUGGAUGGAAUAAUACAUGUAGCGGUGAAAUGCUUAGAUAUGUAUUAGAACACCGAUUGCGAAGGCAGUUCACUAUGCUUGUAUUGACACUGAGGCACGAAAGCGUGGGAUCGAAACA